UAAAUACAUAACAAUUUUACAAAUAAUAAUAUGCACUGCAGGCAAGGCAGAUGCAAUGCAUUGGGCUAAUUCAAAGCCUCCACCUAAAUAUCCUUAAACUCCCAAAAUAAUGGGAUUACCUCCGAGAGUCAACAAAUUCACAUUAAGAUGUAAUGAAAACAAGAACACUAAUGAUGAUAUAAAAGUUGAUGAGUCCUUGAGGCGUGGAUAAGUGUUCAGAUACAUUAAAUAUCCUGUAUUACUCAUAUAAUCCUGUCUAUGUUUUUCAUCAGAACAUUUUUUUAGCAUUAUCAGCACAAAGAUGAGGAAGUCACAUUAUUUAUAAUACAUUGGUCCUGUUUGACUUCCUCUUCAUCGUGGAUGAGAUUGGUAAAGACAGAAGUUGCCUAACCAGUAAAAAGUACUUCAGGACUUUUUCUAUUGUUUUGUUUAAAACUGAUAUUAUCUGUAGCUAAAUUAAUUAAAAAGGGUUUUUUUUACAGAUUAGUGUAUUAUUUGUGUAUAUUGCACAUAUUUUUCUGUGGCCUGAAAUAAAACUCUUUAGAUCUCCAACCCCUAAACUAAAUAGACAACACAUAAAUACUGUAAUACAGACAUGGUGCACACUAUAGUGUUUGAGUUGUCAUGGCAGAAGCUGGUAGCGAUUUUUACAGCUGGUCCUCAGAAGUGGUGAGACAUUCAAGUGAAGAAAAGCCUCUAACUGUGAACAAAGUAAGCAAAGAGACUGUCAUUGCAAUUCAAGAAACAUAAAGGAUAUGAACAAAACACACACAAAUGAAAAACAUUAAGAUAUCGGUUGUACAUCGACCAAAUCUAUGUCAAUAUGUAAAUGAGAAUAUUCCCCACGAACCCUCCACCCUGGCGCGAUUUCCUUUUUUCCCUCACAAACUUAUUUUAUAAAAUUUUUUUGUUCAACCU